GAUCAUGGCUCAGGAUGAACGCUGGCGGCGUGCUUAACACAUGCAAGUCGAGCGAAGCACUUAGGAAAGAUUCUUCGGAUGAUUUCCUAUUUGACUGAGCGGCGGACGGGUGAGUAACGCGUGGGUAACCUGCCUCAUACAGGGGGAUAACAGUUAGAAAUGACUGCUAAUACCGCAUAAGACCACAGCACCGCAUGGUGCAGGGGUAAAAACUCUGGUGGUAUGAGAUGGACCCCG
rnacentral:rRNA from 1 species